AUGGCCAACUUCGCCGCCCAGCUCAAGGAUAGGUUUUUUGGCCUCGUCGACCGCGUCGCCGGCUGCGGCCGCGCCGGGGUCAGGGAGGAGGCCGCCAAGUCGGCGCCGGCGCCGGCCGUGCAGGAGAGUUAUAGUUGUGUAGCUAGAGAACUCACCGUGGUGCUCAUUACUCUUGCAGCAUGUCGAGAUUCGACCGAGAGGCCCCGGUGUGUCAGGAGGAUCGGAGGCGGGAGUCAAUUAGACACCGCAACUGCUACUCGCCCACAUUCUGAGAGUUGA
rnacentral:rRNA from 1 species